UCAGGAAGGCUCAGGGGUUGGAGGAACCAGGAAUCUCCAAAGGCCGAGAUGCAGAGCAGAUAAAACUGAAAAGGCUGGUUAGUAACUGUCUGUGGGAUGACUCGAUUUCUCCUACCACAGCUGGCACAGGCAGGACAUGACCCCUCCGCUCUGGAGCAGAAGGCUGCCUCUCGGGAGAGAGAGAAUGACCUGAGAGGAUGUUCUUGCAAGGCUCAGCAAGGGCCGGGAAUAUAGCAGGUCCUUGCAGGCCCUGCGUCAGGGCUGGAGACUUCGGAGAAACUGGAACUGUCCUGCCUUUGAAGACUGUCCAGCUGGCUGGUGAGGUUAGACAAGGUCACACGACUCUUCGAUAUGUGGAAGAUGAUGACAAGUCUUACGGGGAGGGGAGCAAAGGUGCUCCCUCCAGGAAGAUGCAUUCCCAACCCAACAGAGACGGCUAGAGGCUCACCCACAUCCUGGCUCUCCAUUCCUUCCCAAACUGGACUACAUUUCCCUACGUCUCCCCUGCAAUUCAAUGUGACCACAGGACCCAGUUGCAGGGAUGGGGACUGAGCGUGGACUGAACCAUUGUGUGCCGCUUCUGAGCCUGGCCCCUCAAAAUUCCCAGGACUCCUUAAUAAAGAUGACCCCCAGGGUGACCUUGAGACCCA